rnacentral:rRNA from 1 species
CCUACGUGGCAGCAGUGAGGAAUAUUGGUCAAUGGGCGAGAGCCUGAACCAGCCAAGUCGCGUGAAGGAUGACGGCCCUACGGGUUGUAAACUUCUUUUGUCAGGGAGCAAUUGGGUCCACGCGUGGGCUUAUCGAGAGUACCUGAAGAAAAAGCAUCGGCUAACUCCGUGCCAGCAGCCGCGGUAAUACGGAGGAUGCGAGCGUUAUCCGGAUUUAUUGGGUUUAAAGGGUGCGUAGGCGGAAUAUCAAGUCAGCGGUAAAAAUUCGGGGCUCAACCCCGUCGUGCCGUUGAAACUGAUGUUCUAGAGUGGGCGAGAAGUAUGCGGAAUGCGUGGUGUAGCGGUGAAAUGCAUAGAGAUCACGCAGAACUCCGAUUGCGAAGGCAGCAUACCGGCGCCCAACUGACGCUGAAGCACGAAAGCGUGGGUAUCGAACAGGAUUAGAUACCCUGGUAGUC